rnacentral:rRNA from 1 species
AGAGCGAACGUUAGCGGCGGGCCUAACACAUGCAAGUCGAGCGCCCGUAGCAAUACGGGAGCGGCAGACGGGAUAGUAACACGUGGGAACGCGCCCUUCGGUUCGGAAUAACUCAGGGAAACUUGAGCUAAUACCGAAUACGCCCUUACGGGGAAAGAUUUAUUGCCGAAGGAACGGCCCGCGUCCGAUUAGCUAGUUGGUGAGGUAAUGGCUCACCAAGGCUACGAUCGGUAGCUGGUCUGAGAGGAUGACCAGCAUCACUGGGACUGAGACACGGCCCAGACUCCUACGGGAGGCAGCAGUGGGGAAUAUUGGACAAUGGGCGCAAGCCUGAUCCAGCCAUGCCGCGUGGAUGAUGAAGGCCUUAGGGUUGUAAAGUCCUUUUAACGGGAAGAUAAUGACGGUACCCGUAGAAUAAGCCCGGCUAACUUCGUGCCAGCAGCCGC